rnacentral:rRNA from 1 species
AUUGAACGCUGGCGGCAUGCCUUACACAUGCAAGUCGAACGGCAGCGGGGGUAGCUUGCUACCUGCCGGCGAGUGGCGAACGGGUGAGUAAUGCAUCGGAACGUGCCCUGUAGUGGGGGAUAACUAGUCGAAAGAUUAGCUAAUACCGCAUACGACCUGAGGGUGAAAGUGGGGGACCGCAAGGCCUCAUGCUAUAGGAGCGGCCGAUGUCUGAUUAGCUAGUUGGUGGGGUAAAGGCCCACCAAGGCGACGAUCAGUAGCUGGUCUGAGAGGACGAUCAGCCACACUGGGACUGAGACACGGCCCAGACUCCUACGGGAGGCAGCAGUGGGGAAUUUUGGACAAUGGGGGCAACCCUGAUCCAGCAAUGCCGCGUGUGUGAAGAAGGCCUUCGGGUUGUAAAGCACUUUUGUCCGGAAAGAAAUCGCUCUGGUUAAUACCUGGAGUGGAUGACGGUACCGGAAGAAUAAGGACCGGCUAACUACGUGCCAGCAGCCGCGGUAAUACGUAGGGUCCAAGCGUUAAUCGGAAUUACUGGGCGUAAAGCGUGCGCAGGCGGUUGUGCAAGACCGAUGUGAAAUCCCCGGGCUUAACCUGGGAAUUGCAUUGGUGACUGCACGGCUAGAGUGUGUCAGAGGGAGGUAGAAUUCCACGUGUAGCAGUGAAAUGCGUAGAGAUGUGGAGGAAUACCGAUGGCGAAGGCAGCCUCCUGGGAUAACACUGACGCUCAUGCACGAAAGC